GCCCAAUUUCGCACGUGCCUGUGGUUGCGUGCCGAUCGGCGGAAGUCCGGACAAGAGGCCGGAAAGCCGCCAGCCAGAUCGGUAGCCGGAGGGAACCGGCCCACCCUGCUCUCAGCAGGGGACGUGACUUGAAGCAACGACGUAGCGGGCUUUU
rnacentral:sRNA from 1 species